AAUUGUUUUCUACAGAUUGGCGUUGAAGUCUGUCGGUUCCUAGACACGACAUUUGGGGGCUCGUCCGGGAUACGAAAAAGGGAUCGCUGAAGCUCCCGGCUCCUGGAGACAGAGGCAGAGGCCCCUUAAAAAGCUGCGGAGCUUAACUAUUUAACUAUUUGUUUCGGACUGGGGCACUGUCCCCUCUGACCUCCUCUCCAUGAACGCCGGGAGUGAAAUCCUCUCGUCAAACUAACCCGGACACUAACACCGAAAAUUGAGGGGAAGGAAGCAGCGAGUUCUUCAGAAACGUGCGCAGUGAACCAGGUGCCAGAGACUUGGGAGGAGAGAAACCCAAGAAGGGCCACCUGCAAGAGCUCUGGUAAAAGCGUUUUUGGGAAAAACACUGUCCUCUGAGGUGUAAAGUAAGAGAAAAAAUAUUGUUGGUAAGGUAAAAUAUUGUUAAACCGUGCUUAUGCUUAGAUUAGAUGCUUGUGCUUGCGCGGAACUAACGUUGUAUUGAGGCAACUGAGGUAAAAAUUGUGAUUUAUGUGUAUGUACAACUAUAAAGGAAAAAGGGGGAAAAUAAGUAAAGAAACGUGAAGUGUGUAGAAGGUAUAAACGGGGGGAAUAAAGGUUAUAUAAUAAAAGGUUAUAUAAUAAAAUAUAAAUAAGAAAUAGAAUAAAAGUAUUAAAAUAAACAUAAAAUAAUGGAAAAGGGAGAGAAAACGCCGGUUGAAAUAAUCACGGGAAAAUAUCCUAAAUGUAAACGGGAGAUAGAACAUAUAUCAGAAAAAUGGAAAAAAAGAACUAAAAGAAUGGCGACAAAAUGGCCUAAAGGGGGUACGUUUGAUAGGUAAAUAUGCGAUCAGAUGGGUAAUAGCAAAUUAUAGAACAGGAGACAAGUCAGAAAAAAGAAAGCUAAAAAGAGAACAGGAAAAAACAAUUUUAGGAUGGUUUAGGUCCGCUUCCCUAGAAAAAUAUGUAGGAAUAAGUAGGGGUCACAGUGAAAUAAUGACUCCUCCUCCGUAUGCCCCGCAGUCAUCGGGACAUACGGUAAUAAAAGAGAAAGGCUUGUAUCCAAUAGGCCCGGUAACAUCUGCAGUGACAGUGUGUCCAGUAGUAAAAGGACAGGUUCAGAUACAAGGGUGGGUAGAACAUGAGGAAGGUGAGGAACAGCUCAGGAUAGAGAGAGCACGGCUCGAGGAAGAAAAGGGAAAAAUAGAUAAAAGGGUAACAGAGCUAAGGGGAGAGUACAAGGAAGUGGAGGAAUUAGAAAAGCUGUUAAAAGCAAAAUAUAACCAGUAUGAUGAAUACCAUAGCCGGUUAAUAAAAAAGGCAAAAGAGAUAAGAGACACUGAGAAAAAACAGCGAGCAUCUAAAAUAUGCCAAAAGCCUGAACAGGUGGGGUCAAAAAGGGACGGGGAAACACAUAAAAGACGCAAAACUGCGGGGUGGGGAAACAUUAGAUGGGAAAAGCUCCCGUAUAACACGUGGGAAGAGCUGAAGCCAAAAAUUACCAAAGGAACAGAUUCCCGAGAUAAACAUAAGCCAAGUUUAGCAAAAGGCACUACAAAUAAAAAGCAAACCCCCCAUGCAGAAUAUAAAUUAGAAUAUAAUAAAGGGGAGGAGGAGUUCUCCCCAGCAGGAAAAAGUGAGGCGAGCGACAGUGAGGCAAGCCAGGCAAGUAAUAGCGAGGCAGAAGAGUCAGACGGGGGAGAGGGGCCUGCACAGGUGGGGGGAGAUUUAGCUGGGCGAUAUCAAAACGUAAGAGAAAGACCGCCAACCCGGCGUAACCCAGCAGCAGAAGGAUAUAGCCAUAAUGCUAAAAACCCCAAUACCAUAGCACCAUUGUUGAUUAAGGAAGGGGAUGUACCCCGAUACAUUCUCUGGUCCACCCAAGAUAUGCAUAAUGUAAUAACCAAUCUCCCUGAUUUGCAGAAUGGGGCGAGCCACUGGAUCAGGGUGCUGGAGGAGGAGAUGACGGGCCGGAUCCUGGCUGUGGGGGACCUGAAGGCUCUCCUGGGAAAGGUUGUGGGGAUGGAGACAAUGCUGGACAUAUUUGAGCAGGCUGGCUUUGACAGAAACCAUGCGCAGUCUCCAGCAGUGGACGGUGGGCCGUUUGAUAACGUGCGUGGGGUUGUUUGGACUGCUUUGUGAGCCCUGUAUCCCGCUCGACCGGACAUAACGACCUUAACGGGACUGCCGUUAAAAGACAAUGAACCACCGGCAGCAUACAUCCACAUGCAGUUGCGCAGGUGGAGAUUGAUAACUGAAAGGGACGUACGGGCAGAUCCCAUAAUGACCACCCUCUUCCGCAAAGCCAUCCGGGAGGGGAUGUCACAGGAAGUGGGGCGCCGCCUCGAUGAGGUGGUGGGACUGAACACCAUGGCACACAGAGAAUUUGUGGAUCAUGUGGCGCACACUGUAGAAAGGCAGCGGAAAGAGGGGAAAAAGCUGGGAGAUCAAACAAAAGACAUUCAAAGGAAGCUACUGCAGUUGCAGCUGGAGGAGCUGAGGAGCCAAAGAAAAAAAGGCGAGAGAAAUAAAAGAGCUGGAUAAAGAAAAAGAGGCAAAAAAAGUGGCAUCUGUGAAAAUACAGAAUAUGGACAAUGAAUUCUUUGACUUUGAAGCCACCCCCCUCGCCUGAACCAUGGAGCAGCCUGAUGGUGCCCUGGCCGACGGUGAUCUACAACUUCAUCCCUCACCCAGUGGCCAUGCAAGAUACAAAAGGGCAGUGCAUAAGCGAUGAAAAUGCUGGAGAAACUGGCAAAGGGGGGACACAAGGUGUCCAGGAAGAAGCUGCAGCUCUGCUCUCAGGAGGUGGAGUACUUGGGAAGAGUAAUCACGGCUGGCGGCAUCCAAUUGGUGUCGUACAGGGUGACUAACGCAGGAGCCAGGCGCCAGACGGGUGAUUCCAGUUUCCGGCGGAAGCUGUCACAGUCCAGGGAGACGGGGAGAGCGGAGGGACUGCGGGCGCUGACACCAUUCCAGGGAGCAACAGCACCAACAGUGCCCCUGCGGGUCCAGUAUGAGAAUCGCAAGCCGGCUUUCCAGUGGAGUGACGUGCAGACCGCGUACUCUGGAUUGGAAGAUAUACCAGGAGCCCACCAACUACGAGGACUGCGGCAAAUCCUCGUGCUACGAAUCAACGUGUUAAGAAACUGUGUAUGAUAACUUUGUUGGGUCACUUAGAAUAAUAUAUAGAGCUUUGAUAUGUAUAAUCAAAUUUUGCGACUGGAGAGAGUGUUGGAGGAACCAUGGGAACAACGUUACAUUGAGGAAUCUGAUACAUUUGGAUGCUGCUAUGGCAGCAGGGGAUGCGCAGGCACCCAACGUAAUAUACAUGGGGUGGUGCACACCCGACGCUGUCUGACGCUGAGAAUAAGAAUACAGCGAGGGGAGUCUUUCGGGGCCAUAAGAUUUGACCCCGAAAGGGGGGAAAUGUAGGAAAAGUUUGAGACUCCCCAUGAUUGAGAUGGCGUCACAUGUUAAAGUUAGGGAAUUCCCAUCAAUGUUGAUCAAACUGGUUCCUCCAAACUCUCGAUGCUUCAUGAUAAAAAUAUAUCACAUGUAUAACUAUACACUCAUAUAAUCAAUGUGUAAUCCAAUAAAUCUAUAUCAGUAGUUGCAGCAAAGCUUAUGGAAACGCAAGAAACCACAGUAUCCACUGUAGAAAAAAAGGCAAACGCAGAAGGCUUAAGAAAAAUCACACUUACUCACUCAGCAGAAAACACUAAUCAAAUACUAAUCAUACACUAUUGCCUAUAACUUCAGCAGAUAACACUAACCAAAAAACUAAUCAUAUAUUGCUAAAAUAUAAUCCAAAAACUAACAAAACGCUAUUACCAAAUAGAAGUGCUAGAAGACUAAUAUUUUACAGUGACCCCUGUGUAACCUGAAUACAGUAGAAAAGUACAGGAGGCUAUAACUCUGUAACUUGUAUGCUUAAUGGAAAAUUACAGAAGGCUGUGACUUGUAUGCUUAAUGGAAAAUUACAGAGUAAAGACUGAUAUUUUUCAAAGGGAAAGUUGGGGUAACUUUCCACAAUGACGAUAUCACCU